rnacentral:lncRNA from 1 species
AAAAAGAGAGAAGGGACAAUGCUACUAUCUUUUUCCACACUUGUGCUUCAUUAUAGCACCAUGUUCUUCAUGAUUGAGAGCUUCUUGCUUUGUCACCACCAUAUGCUAGUGGGAAUCUUCAUUAUAUAACUUGGCUUGUAUAUUCCAAUGAUGGGCUUCCUGAAAUUUCCCUAGGUCUUCGUGAGCAAGCAAGUUGGAUGCACACCCACUAGUUCUCCUUUUGAGCUUUCACAUACUUAUAGCUCUAGUGCAUCUCUUGUAUGGAAAUCCCUACUCAUUCACAUUGAUAUCUAUUAAUGGGCAUCUCCAUAGCCCUUUUAUACGUCGAGUCAAUGUGACCAUCUCCUCCUUUUUGUCUCACAACCACC